AAACAUCAUAUAGAUUAUAUUAGAUUCACCAAAACUUACUAUCUCAACAUUUUUUACUAUGAAACAUUGGCAUCAUUAAUUGGAUUAAGAGAGGUAAAAGAGGUCUAUCCGAUAAAUUUCACAGAGCAACUUGGAAUACCGUGGCCAUUCAACAAGAAUCCAUCUAAUCUUGUGUUAUUGCACUCUGCAUCACCGUUCAUAAAGAAGGAGAGGGAAAAUUUCUAGUAGAGACGGAAA